rnacentral:rRNA from 1 species
CACGUAGGGCGCAAGCGUUGUCCGGAAUUAUUGGGCGUAAAGAGCUCGUAGGCGGUCUGUCGCGUCGGCUGUGAAAACCCGGAGCUCAACUCCGGGCCUGCAGUCGAUACGGGCAGACUGGAGUUCGGCAGGGGAGACUGGAAUUCCUGGUGUAGCGGUGAAAUGCGCAGAUAUCAGGAGGAACACCGGUGGCGAAAGGGCGGGGUCUCUGGGGCCGAUACUGACGCUGAGGAGCGAAAGCCGUGGGGGAGCGAACAGGA